GACGAACGCUGGCGGCGUGCUUAACACAUGCAAGUCGGACGGAAAGGCCCUGCUUUUGUGGGGUGCUCGAGUGGCGAACGGGUGAGUAACACGUGAGUAACCUGCCCUUGACUUUGGGAUAACUUCAGGAAACUGGGGCUAAUACCGGAUAGGAGCUCCUGCUGCAUGGUGGGGGUUGGAAAGUUUCGGCGGUUGGGGAUGGACUCGCGGCUUAUCAGCUUGUUGGUGGGGUAGUGGCUUACCAAGGCUUUGACGGGUAGCCGGCCUGAGAGGGUGACCGGCCACAUUGGGACUGAGAUACAGCCCAGACUCCUACGGGAGGCAGCAGUGGGGAAUAUUGCACAAUGGGCGGAAGCCUGAUGCAGCAACGCCGCGUGCGGGAUGACGGCCUUCGGGUUGUAAACCGCUUUCGCCUGUGACGAAGCGUGAGUGACGGUAAUGGGUAAAGAAGCACCGGCUAACUACGUG
rnacentral:rRNA from 1 species